rnacentral:rRNA from 1 species
CAAGGAAUUUUCCCCAAUGGGCGCAAGCCUGAGGGAGCAACGCCGCGUGGGGGAGGACGCCCUUCGGGGUGUAAACCCCUUUUGGGGGGGACGAAGUUCUGACGGUACCCCCCGAAGAAGGCCCGGCUAACUACGUGCCAGCAGCCGCGGUAAUACGUAGGGGCCGAGCGUUGUCCGGAGUUACUGGGCGUAAAGCGCGCGCAGGCGGCUCCUCCAAGCCCGGCGUGAAAGCCCCCGGCUCAACCGGGGAGAGUCGUCGGGGACUGGGGAGCUUGAGGGCGGCAGGGGCUGGUGGAAUCCCCGGUGUAGUGGUGAAAUGCGUAGAGAUCGGGGGGAACACCCGUGGCGAAGGCGGCCAGCUGGGCCGGUCCUGACGCUGAGGCGCGAAGGCGUGGGGAGCGAACGGGAUUAGAUACCCCCGUAGUCC